UCUCCUCCCAUCUACACUGGGUCCAGGUAGAUAUGGAGUAGAAACACCUCUUUGUCUACGCUGGGUCCAGGUGGAGGUGGGGCAGGGUCUCCUCCUGUCUACACUGGGUCCAGGUAAAUGUGGAGUAGGGACACCUCUUUGUCUACUCUG